AGUACAGAGGAAUCAUUUAUAUCCAGUGCCAAAGGCCAGCCAACCAUAUAAUUUGAUAUAUGUAUUAUUUUCCUGAGGAAAAGUUGCUACAGUAUUACAACUAUUUUAUGUGCCUAGGUAAAGAAAUAAUGGGAUAAGAUUUCUAAACCCCACUGUGGAGGUUUUUGCUGGCCUUCUUAAUGAAAUCUAAUAAAAGGAAACGACUAGAGACAAUAUUCACUUAUUAUUUAUCAUAAGGUCUGUUGAAUUGUGCUGAGUUAAUGUUAGGUUUGAAUGAAUUCCAUUUUCCUCUUAUCCAAUAGGAUGUACAGUUACCCAGCACGUGUACCUCCUCCUCCUCCUAUUGCUCGGGCUGUCGUGCCCUCGAAACGUCAGCGUGUAUCAGGAAACACUUCACGAAGGGGCAAAAGUGGCUUCAAUUCUAAGAGUGGACAGCGGGGAUCUUCCAAGUCUGGAAAGUUGAAAGGAGAUGACCUUCAGGCCAUUAAGAAGGAGCUGACCCAGAUAAAACAAAAAGUGGAUUCUCUCCUGGAAAACCUGGAAAAAAUUGAAAAGGAACAGAGCAAACAAGCAGUAGAGAUGAAGAAUGAUAAGUCAGAAGAGGAGCAGAGCAGCAGCUCCGUGAAGAAAGAUGAGACUAAUGUGAAGAUGGAGUCUGAGGGGGGUGCAGAUGACUCUGCUG
rnacentral:sRNA from 1 species